rnacentral:rRNA from 1 species
UACAGAGGGUGCCAGCGUUGUUCGGAAUUAUUGGGCCUAAAGCAUCCGUAGCCGGUUUUACAAGUCCUCCGUUAAAUCCAGCUGCUUAACAGAUGGGCUGCGGAGGAUACUAUAAGACUAGGAGGCAGGAGAGGCAAGCGGUACUCAGUGGGUAGGGGUAAAAUCCGUUGAUCCAUUGAAGACCACCAGUGGCGAAGGCGGCUUGCCAGAAUGCGCUCGACGGUGAGGGAUGAAAGCUGGGGGAGCAAACCGG